rnacentral:miRNA from 1 species
AUGUCUGUAGGGGUGUGUGUGUGUGUGUGUGUGUGUGUACACACACACACACACACACACACACACACACAUAUUU